rnacentral:rRNA from 1 species
GAUGAACGCUGGCGGCGUGCCUAAUACAUGCAAGUCGAGCGAACAGACGAGGAGCUUGCUCCUCUGACGUUAGCGGCGGACGGGUGAGUAACACGUGGAUAACCUACCUAUAAGACUGGGAUAACUUCGGGAAACCGGAGCUAAUACCGGAUAAUAUAUUGAACCGCAUGGUUCAAUAGUGAAAGACGGUUUUGCUGUCACUUAUUGAUGGAUCCGCGCCGCAUUAGCUAGUUGGUAAGGUAACGGCUUACCAAGGCAACGAUGCGUAGCCGACCUGAGAGGGUGAUCGGCCACACUGGAACUGAGACACGGUCCAGACUCCUACGGGAGGCAGCAGUAGGGAAUCUUCCGCAAUGGGCGAAAGCCUGAAGGAGCAACGCCGCGUGAGUGAUGAAGGUCUUCGGAUCGUAAAACUCUGUUAUUAGGGAAGAACAAAUGUGUAAGUAACUAUGCACGUCUUGACGGUACCUAAUCAGAAAGCCACGGCUAACUACGUG